AGAGUUAGAUAGACAGCUGCCAGUCAAUUUCGAAGGUAUCCAUUUUGUAUGAACAACACUAUGCAAUAUUCUGGGUUUAAUGUGUUGUAAACUCAAAGAUGCUGAAAUAUGAUAGCUUUAAUUAAAAGUUUAGCUACUCUAAUGCUUGUUGUACCCAUCUAUCAUAUGUGUUGUACAUAUUGUCGUACAUUGCCUGUUCGACGGGUCUGUUGCACGUGCUCGAAUAG
rnacentral:lncRNA from 1 species